rnacentral:rRNA from 1 species
GGAAUUUUCCGCAAUGGGCGAAAGCCUGACGGAGCAAUACCGCGUGAGGGAAGACUGCCCAUGGGUUGUAAACCUCUUUUUUCAGGGAGGAAUAAAAUGACGUGUACCUGAAGAAUAAGCAUCGGCUAACUCCGUGCCAGCAGCCGCGGUAAGACGGAGGAUGCAAGUGUUAUCCGGAAUCACUGGGCGUAAAGCGUCUGUAGGUGGUUUAAUAAGUCAACUGUUAAAUCUUGAGGCUCAACUUCAAAACCGCAGUCGAAACUAUUAGACUAGAGUAUAGUAGAGGUAAAGGGAAUUUCCAGUGGAGCGGUGAAAUGCGUAGAGAUUGGAAAGAACACCGAUGGCGAAAGCACUUUACUGGGCUAUUACUAACACUCAGAGACGAAAGCUAGGGUAGCAAAUGGGAUUAGAUACCCCUGUAGUC